rnacentral:lncRNA from 1 species
CAGGAGCUCUGCUCGCGUCUGACCUGGUGCCCCUCCCCUCAAUGCGCUGCCCUCCCCCUCAACGCGCUGCCCCCCCCUCAACGCGCUGCCCCUCCCCCUCAAUGCGUGUGUAUAUGGUGCUGUUGGUAAAGACAGAUGUUCCUCUCUAACCAAUGGACCAAGUUACUUCUCUGUUUCCUCAGGCUGUUGGACACCAAGCUCAUGGCCACUACGCAACCGUUCAAGGAGUUGAUCAACAUCACGUCUCUAGCAGAGCUGCAGAAACAGCUGAAAGAGAGCCCCUUCAAAUCUCCUAAAGUUGGUAAGAGAACAUGAYGACGACUACGYCACGUUUAAGGAACAGGAAGUUAUUUCAGAAGCUAAUCUAACAUAACUACUUCGCAUGAAAUAAAUCAUAUAGCUUUGAACAUAAUAGAAAUGGUGGUACAUUUUGUGUACAAAAAUUCUAACUUAAUCAACCUUAUAUUGUCUAUAGUCGAGGACAAGAUUCUACAGCAGUGGUUCUCAACCAGGGGUACUAGGAGCCCCUGGCGGUACUAGACCUAUCCACAUGGUGUGCUUGAGUAGACUCCUAAUACCAUAGGCUUACUGUUAAAAUGCAAGAGGGAGUACUUCGGGUGUACUCGGAACAGAGGAAAUUAUACUUGGUAUUUUAACCGAGGUUGAACCGUUUGAGCUAUAGGACCUGUAGAUACUGUGAUGCAGUGGUAUUCAAAGUCGGGGAAGUGACUGCAGAGGGGUCUUUUUUUUAUUUUAUUUUUAGGAGUACAGAUUAUUGUAUGGGACCGUAUACUAACAAAAAUCUUAAGGUUUUAUAGUCAUUCGAUUUUGCCGUCGCAAGCAGUAGCAGUGUGUGGACAAAAUCAAUGGGGAAGCAGAGACAGAAAAUAAUGAGACAUGUAACCAACCCAUGUUAGCAUUUCCCAAACUCAAUCCUCGGGACCCCAGGGGGUGCACGGUUUGGGGGGGGUGCGCGGUUUGCUUCAUGGUUUUUGGCUUAUGGUUCUCACCCCUACCAUAGACUUACACAGUAAUUAUAACAACUUCCAGAGGACGUCCUCCAACCAAUCAGAGCUCUUGUAUGAACUGAACUGACAUGUUGUCCAUCCAAUCAAAGGAUCAGAGAAUGUCAGAAUCUAGUACUGAAAGUAGAAGCUACAGCUAGCUAGCACUGCGGUGAACCGUUGACUCAAAGAGAGAAAUGUAAUAGUUGAACAUUUUUGAACAAAGUAAUUUCUUCCAAAAUAAAGAAGCUAGAGAUNUGGGGGUCGGUAAUUUAAGGUGAUGGGUCGUAUUAGGUGUUGGUCCGUAUUUAAGAAUGUGUUGGUUCCGUAUUUAAGGUUUUUGGGGUCAGUGUUUGGUCAGUAUUGAAGGUGUU